UAUAAAACCAUAUUUGAAUCUUUUAUUUCACCUUAUUGAAAAAUUUUAGGCACAACAAAAAGCACUGUAAACAACCUAAGCAGUAUGAACCAUGUUACUCUUAGAGGAAUAAUACAUUUAGUAAAAAAAACUACUUGAAAAUUAAAUAAACUGAUGGUUUAUUUGCUUAGAGAUCAGCUUUUACUAGGUGAUCCUUUGAAACAUGUUAGCAGGUCCCAGCUCAUUCUUUUAAAAAUUACAUGUUCAUGCUAGACCUAAGCAGUUGGCCAAAUACUCAUGAUGGGGAAUUGUUUCUGAGAAAACUGGUAAGAGCUCUCACUUCAGUGUUACUUAACCAACUGCUAUACCCUGCAGAGGAAGCCAGCUAAUUGUAGUUUUGAUAAGGCUAUCUGUCAUCAUAGAAUACCUUUCUCUGGUAGCUGAAUGAAAAUCAACUAUGCAUUCCAUACUGAACAGGCCAGAGAUAAGGACUUUUAGGCCUGCCUUACAAACUGCCUUCAGCAGCUGACAUGAGUUAUUUCCCUUUUCUAUUUUGUUCUGCUCGAAUUUGUAUCUAUGAAGACUGUAGCCCAGAACACAAGAUAAGCAUGAAAAGUUCUUGGGCUAAGAUUACCAAUAUAUAGGACAUUUUGAUGCCAUCUUUUUGUAUUUCUGAAACUACUAAAGUUGUAAUCCCUGUUAAAAAUGAAAAAUAUAAAGAACGUAAAAUCAGUUGCAAAAGGGAUGGAAGAUAGACUGAUGACCAAAUACUUGUUUUUAUACAAACAUGUUUUCAUAUUCUAAAUAUAUGCUAGUGGGUUUUUUUUCCUUAGCUAUAAGUGGAAGUGCCCAGUAUGAACUCAGGUGUGUGUGGUUUUCAACAUACACAAAUUUUUAGUGAUUUUUAAAAGGGAUUACUGGUACUGAAUAAUUUUAUAUUUCCUUUAUUACAUAACUUAUAAAUAGUAAAAGGACUAUCACCCUUUGGGGAAUUAUAUUUUAGUGGUCUAGGCAAGAAUAUGGGUUGUCAUUUGGGCCACUAGUGAUUCUCCAGAGAAGCUAGACUAGGCAUUUUUUCUCAGUAUGCCUGAUGUUCCUCAUUUAUAACAUAGUGAAAAUAUUAUGAUCCACUUUAAUUAUAUUUCACACCAGAGUUCCUCUUUGGCAAGUACCCCAAAUACAGAUGCUUGAACUGCAAUAGAUUUAUAUUUUAAAGCUAAAUUUCUCAUAGAGAUAGAGAAUCAAGUUAUUUUUUUAAUUAACUAAACUUUAGUCCCUGCUAAACUCAAUGACUAUUCCCCUUCUUCCUGAUUUCCAAUGUGAUUCAUUUUAAUAUAUUAUUAACUUUGUUUGCCUGCAUCCUGUUGAAGACUACAAUAUUACCACAUAAGCCAAAUCAAAUUUAAUGAGAAAGACUUCAUAGACCACUAUCAAACAUAUCACCAAACUCACGGUAGGCGAUCCAUGCGGGCCUUCUUUAAUAUCCUAAUAUAAUGACUCUAUAAAACAGAACAGUCCCUUUCAUGUCAGUUGACUAGUGGCAACAGUUUGGACUUACAUGAGACCUCAGAGUGUUUUUUGAAACAUUGACUUCACACAAAAUGAUGAGUACUAAUAAUACAAGUUUUCAUUUCUGAACAAGUGCAUUUUCAGGGAAAAUGGAAUAAGAACUUUUUUUUUCUGGCACUCCCUAAUUACGAGGAGGCAGAUACCUAAGAAUAUGAGCACAGAACACGCUGAGUCUUUCACCUACUUCAUUUCAGCAUCCCAGCAGGUGAAAUGAGGAUACUAAUAGCCUAUCUGCCUAUUUUGAUUUUUCAGUAAAAUAACACAAAAGAAAGCCCGUGGUAGAAGAGUGUUUAUGCCAAGGGAACAUUUUGGCAUGGUAGCCCAUCUUAACGGAAAUAUGGAACAAAUAGUCGCAUGGGUAAUUAUUUGAAAAACUACACUCCAUCUUCAGUGUACUCCUUAUGUAUGUGUUUGAACUGCCAUGGCCAAUAGACCCCAGCUUUGUCCCCAGAUUUCUCUGAUGUCCCUCCCUGCCAAGACCACAAGAAACCCUGAUUGCUCUGCAGUUAGUGACCUACUAUCUGCUUACUGGGGGAUCUCAGGGCUUCUUCCAUCAGAUUUACCCACUUACUCGUUAACGUUUUUUUGACUACCUAGUUUGUGCUAGGCAGAGUAAGGGUAGUUGGGUAUACAUAGGUGAAUCCAGUGGGGAUCCUGCCCUCAAGAGGCUUAGUUAUGAAGCCCAGACAUGUAUAUGACAUAAGAGAUAUAAUACUUAGUGGCAGAGGAGAGGACCUGGUUGCAAAAAAGAGAGAGAUUACUGCAAGUGAGAAAAUUAAGGAAGCCUUUGGAGCCACAGGAACUCACAGCUAUCCACUUCCACCUUCCUGGUAGCUGCUGUAGGGGUCUGGGAACUGUUGCACUUCCAACCCAAGGAAGAGUCCCCCUUGUGAAAGACCCAAGUGGCCCCGCCCUCUCGAUCCUAUUAAAAUCCAAGCAAAAUUUUAGGUUCCUGGUCGCCCUCUGGCUUUCUCUGAUCAUUUCUUCCUUUUGGUGGAGAAUCAGCUGAAUAAGCUGAUUUGGCCACUAUCAUCAGUCUUGUAUCACCACCACUUGUCAGCCAAGAUGACUUGAGUGAGACGUGUAAUGGUAGCUGAAGGAGACUUUCAGUACUUCUAAGAAAGGAUUGCAUCUGCCAGUAAGGCCUUGCACAGAAGUGGGGACAACGGUGUGUUCCCUAAUCCCCUGUUUUUCCAUUGUGUGCUAUUACAGAAAGCAUUGUUUUGGAAUGAAAAGACACAGUUCAUUUCCUUGUGGUUAGGUCUGUCUCCAAAUUUUCCUUUGAUUUGGGUAUCAAGUGAAAAUCUUGGUAUCAAGUGAGUAGCUAAGGUAGUAACAAAAGCUAGAAAUGAAACAAGACACGGGACAUUUUUGGUCACUAAACUAUGGAUGAAUUGAUCUGGAAUUCUUACACCCAUGUUACUCCUUCCUUGCCCCCCCUUUCCUACCCCCAAAUUCCUCAUGAGUAUGACAGAAGAGGUCUUGAACCAGCUCCUGGCCAUUACUCAGUGGAUACAGUGCUUGAAUUAUUCAGAAAAUGUUUAAAUGCCAUCCUUUAAAUGUAAGCCCUACUUAUUACUCUUUGGAACUCCUUUAUGGAAUAAUGGAAAAGCGAGUCAUCUUGAUAAGAAAAUAUCUGAGUCUUUACAGAAGAACAAGGAUAAAAAUGGAGGUAAGAAAGAACUCUUUGUGAAUUCUCUAAUCAUCUUCACCUUUUUUCAUAGAGAUGGGUGUUGAUCAGUAUAUUCUAUUUGGUGGGUUCUUUCCCAAAUGAAAGAAAAUGCUCUGUCAUCAUGUAUUUCCAAGUUAUUUUUGCUAUUAUUGUAUCCCCAGAAUCUAGUCCAUGCCUGACACAAGAAGUCUCUCAAUAAAUAUUUGUCAAUGAAGGAAAAAUGAAUUUGCUCAUCUUAAAUGGGCAGUCUGUUUAGCAGUAUGGCUAUUUAAAAUACUCAAGCUAUUUGGAGCCAGUGCAAAAACAAAUAGGUGUCUAGGUAUGUACCCAAAAGAAUUGAAAGCAUGGUCUUAAAGAGGUAUUUGUACACCCAUGUUCAUAGCAGCAUUAUUCAUAAUAGCCAAAACAGGGAAGCAACUCAAGUGUCCAUGGAUGGAUGAAGUAAAAUGCAGUGUGUGUGUGUAUGUAUAUAUAUAUAUAUAUAUAUAUAUAUACACACACAAUGGAAUAUUACUCCGCCUUAAAGAGGAAGGAACAUGUAUGAACCUUGAGGACAUUAUGCAAAGUGAAAUAAUCCAGUCACAAAAAGACAGACGCUAUAUGAUUUACGUAGAAGAGGUACUUAGAGUAAUUAAAAUCAUAAAGGGGGAAAGUAUAAAGGUGGUUGCCAGGGCCUGGGGUGAGGAGAAGUGGGUUUAUUGUUUAAUGGGAAUAGAGUUUCAGUUUUAUAAGAUGAAAAGAGUUACGGGGAUGGAUGGUGGUGAUGGUUGUACAACGGCGUGACUAUGUUUAAUACCACUGAACUGUACACCUAAAAAUGGUUGAGGUGGUAACUGUGUAUAUUUUACCACAAUUUAAAAAUCUAUUUAAAAAAUACUAAAUAAAAAAAAUAGAUGAGUUUUGUGACCAGAUUAGUUUGGUUUCUGUGAUUUGUGUCUCCACACGUCUCUGAGCUGACAAAGGCCUUUGGAAUUCCUGGGGAAUAUAGAGUACACCGGUCUUCUCUAUUACAUUAGCGACUAACAACAGUGGGGCUAGAGUUUAAGCAAGGAUCUUACUAGUCUUCACUUGCCUAGGCUUUCUUUCUGGGCCAAUUUUUAUAUUAUAUAAAUAAUAUUUUAAAUGAUGUAGAUGUGGUCAUUCAAGGUCCACCCACUGGCUUCUGUGACUGCUCUCCUUGCAAAUGAUAGGUCAGUUUUAAAGAAGUAAAGUCUACCAAUAUAGUAAGACAACACUUUUAACUCAACAAUGUACCAUUUUAUUUUUAGGUCUUGAGAAGGAAUGGCAAAAUGAUCCUGCUGCAGUGCUAGGAGAGAAUGAUGAACUGAACUGACCCUCUCUUCUUCACAUCUUGUAACAUGUGUCCGACCAACCACCACAGAGCAUUUCGGAUAUAGGACUCUGCUGUGGAUCACAAAAUGUGGCCGGUGAAUGGGUCUUUGGACGCCAUUUGGCCUAAAUCUUGACCCAUCUCCAUUUUCCCGAAAAGAGACUUGGGGUUCGAGGCCGAGGGGGAUUUGCCCAAGGUCACACAAGGGGUAGACUGAUUUCUGUGUUCCUGCAGCCCAGAGAACAAGCUAUCUUGUGCUACCCGAGGCUUCACGAUGGGUUGCCUGGCUGGCGCGUGGCCAGACUUCCAGUCUCCUGUGUUGAUGGCGGUUGCCAUGGCAGUGGCACAUUGUUUUCCCGCCUCAUCUUGGUGACGUUAUGUGACCAGCGUCCAAUGGGAAAGCAGCUCCGCGUCAAGCACCGCCUUUCCCGACGGGCACUGCCUUAGCGACUGGGAGACAAGCGUCGACAGUGCUGGACCGGCUGGCUCGGGUCGCGGCCGCGGCGUUACAUCGUUUUCCAAUCUGUCCGCAAGCGCCGCCGCCCGAGACAGAGCCAGGAUGUUCGGGAUGCUGAGCAGCAGCUUUGAGGAUGAUCCCUUCUUCUCUGAUUCUUUUAUGGCACACCAAGAAAGUAUGCGACAGAUGAUGAGAAAUUUUUCUGAACCUUUUGGAAGAGACCUGUUCAGCAUCUCUGAUGGCAGAGGAAGAGCUCGUAACCAUACGGGACAUGAGGAUGGAGAAAAUUCCUUGACUGAUAUCCAGAAGGAAGAAGGAAAAAUUGGAAGACUAGUCUAUGCUAGAGCUGUCCCACAGCCAAGGAUACACCACUCACGUACAGAUGUCAACCCUUUUCAGGCAAUGGACCGAAUGAUGUUAAAUAUGCGAAACAGCAUGCAGGAAUUACAAAGAAACUUUGGUAACCUUUCAACGGAUCCAAAUGGACAUUCGUUUAGUUCUUCCUCAGUUAUGACUUAUUCCAAAGUAGGAGAUGAACCACCAAAGGUUUUCCAGGCCUCAACUCAAACCCGCAGGGCUCCAGGAGGAGUAAAGGAAACUAGGAGAGCACUGAGAGAUUCUGAGAGUGGACUAGAAAAAAUGGCUGUUGGUCAUCACCUCCAUGACCGAGCUCAUGUCAUUAAAAAGUCAAAGAACAAGAAGACUGGAGAUGAAGAGGUCAAUCAAGAGUUCAUCAAUAUGAAUGAAAGUGAUGCUCAUGCUUUUGAUGAUGAGUGGCAAAAUGAGGUUCUGAAGUACCAACCAAGGGGACAAUGGCACAAUCUAGAAAACUCUAGGAUGCGAAACAUUGGUCAUGAGAAUUCAGGACUUAAAAGAAGGUAAAAGUUAUUUCUAAACUAAGCUGUGUUUUUUAAAGACAAUUUAGAAGAGAAGUUAUGUAAUUUUACCUCUGUUAUCGGGAAGUUUUGAUUAACAUCCAAGUUGUUUGUAUCAAUAAUAUCUUUUGUGAAAGAUGUAAUAACUUUAUAUUAUUUCUGAGUAUUCCAACACAAAUUUAAAUUUGUAUCUGAAAACCAAUAGUAUUUUAGGAUUAUAUGACUAGUACCUUACUAGCAAAUUAUGCUUUAGACAAUGGGGCUAAAAUCCUCCUAAGGUAGAGCAAUAUACUAUAAUGCAGUUAUUCUUGUGAAACAGAUUUUCAUCUGGAUAGAGUAGGAGUCAUACAUUUUGUACCAGGUAAAGAUACUGGUGUUUAGGGAUAUGGUAAGGAGAGAGGAACUGUAGCUAAAAGGCUGAACAAAACUUCCCUAACAAGUCAAAAUUGAGCAUUUAAUGGUAAAAAGAUUUUUAGACCCUUGUAUAAUAUGUAACAGUAUCUGUAUUAGAUAUCAAAUAUUUUGGAAGAGUUUUGCAAAAACUUUAGCCUCCUUUGGAAUUACCGUUUGGAAUAGCUGCGAAAUAUGAACGUGCUAAUACCACACUUUUAUAGAGAUUAUAGAAAUUUUGACACAUUUAGUAUAUAUCCUAGAGUUACAAUUUUAUUUGAUACUCUGGGGGAACAAUUGAAAACACUACCUAAAUCCUAUUGAAAAUUAGACUCGAGAGAGAGAGGGCUCAGCAGGCCUGAAAACAGAAAUCUGUUCUAGGCUCUAAGAGAGUGGAGAAUUGCUGCAGAAGGUGGAAGCCUUCCCAGAACCAGCGGUCAACAAGGAGAAACUGCAUCAAAGUCCAGCCAUUGAACGUGGAAGAAGAUCAAAUGUUUAUGUGGAUAAACUCAACAUCAAAGGAUCACCUAUGAAAAUCAACAAAAAAUAAAUAGCAUUGCACUUGA